CUUCAACAAUACAGAGAAGAUUAGCAUGGCCCCUUUGCAAUGAUGACAUGCAAAUCUGCAAAACAUUCCAUUAAAAA
rnacentral:snRNA from 1 species